AUGCAUCUCUUACAGCCCUGGAGCAGUUCAUGUCUGCUGCUAAAAGGUUUCCACUACAGAUGCAAGAAAAAGAAGGUCCUCAUGCUUUCCGUCUGGCUGGUUGUGGCAGCCAAGAUUGAAUGGGGGAAUCUAGGA
ensembl:snoRNA